GCAUAUCAAUAAGCGGAGGAAAAGAAACCAACAGGGAUUGCCUUAGUAGCGGCGAGCGAACAGGCAAGAGCUCAGAUUUGAAAGCCCUCGGGCAUUGUAUUCUGAAGCCUUGGUCCUGAGAAUCGGUGUUUAAGUCUUCUGGAAAGGAGCGCCAUGGAGGGUGAUAGCCCCGUACGACACCACUCUCACUGUAGGACUUUGGCAUGGAGUCGAGUUGUUUGGGAAUGCAGCUCAAAUGGGUGGUAUGCUCCAUCUAAAGCUAAAUAUCUGCGAGAGACCGAUAGCGAACAAGUACUGUGAAGGAAAGAUGAAAAGAACUUUGAAAAGAGAGUGAAAAAGUACGUGAAAUUGUUGAAAUGGAAGGAUAGGCCGCUAACCAUGUAGGGUCGUGUUUGAGGGGAAGAUAAAAGCUGAAGAAUGUAGCUCCUCGGAGUGUUAUAGCUUCAGUCCAUAUUCCCUCUCGAGCGCGAGGAUCGAAGACUCUGCUAAAUGGUGGUCUAUCACCCGUCUUGAAACACGGACC
rnacentral:rRNA from 1 species